ACCCGCCCUCACAUCUCUUGCUUUCUCAUCUGAUAGAUUUUUUUUUUUUAAAUUACACUAAGAACCAUGUCUCAAAGAACUUGCUUGGAAUAGAAACAUUGCCCAACACCACACAGAGUUCGUGAGGUUUUUUUUUUUUUUUUUUUUUUUGGUUCUUUUUUUCCCAGCAAAGUCAGCUGCUUGGCAGAGGUCCAAGUUUCAAGUUUCCUAAACGCUGAUGGUGGCCUUGAACGCAGGCCAGGCUCUCUGUCCAGCAGCGUAUAAAUCUCAGCUGCCUGAGCCUUACACAUGUGCCUCGUCUGCACAUGAUGUCCUCAACUAGCAACAUGAAGUUGGGCGGUCUCUUCCUCCUGGCCAGUCUCCUCACCCUCAACACAAGACUCCAGGCAAUUGGUAUCUGUGUGGAGCAGUGCCGAGAAGACCAGGACUGCGCGGCAGGAGAGAAAUGCAUCAGCAAUGGCUGUGGCCACGUGUGCUCACCAGCCCCGCAAGCAAGUAAGGCUGAGCCCCCUGCCCAAAUUACUGGGCUUAAAAGGACAAUGCACUUGGUCCUGCCCAACCUUUCAACAAAUGUUCAACAGUAAUUUAUCUUGAGCAUGGUUUUGAAUGUUUUCAACAUAAAACAUUCAAAGGAUGGGGUGUUCUUUGAACUCCUUCCUCACGGUACUGUGCAUUUAGUCCUUCUCAAUUUUUUCCAGCACAGUCACUUUACCACUCCCCAAAUAUAUAUCUAUGGUUGGAAAGUAAGACUCUACAACCAAAGCUAUAGAAACAAAUAAUGGUACCCACACUCCCUUUGCCCAGAGAAACACCAUUGUUGGUCAUUCCACAUUACUCUGUCCAUGUGUAUGGACAUGUUGGUAAUUGCACAUUUUUAACUCAUUAAGAUAUUUAGCCUUCCCUCAGCGCAUUUCAGUUUCAACUUUUUAUUAUGGGACAUCUAUGUACAAAGCAGACAGAUUGGUAGAACAAUGCACCAUGUACCCAUCACCCAACCAUUGUCAACGUGUGGUCUUUCUUCCUUCAUGUCUAACCCCACCCACUUCCCCCAUCCCUGUUAUUUUCAGAUUCCAGGC
rnacentral:lncRNA from 1 species